rnacentral:ncRNA from 2 species
GCCUGAAAAAGGCACACCACGCGAAAGCGUGGGCCGCAAAGCCACCGGCCUAAGUUGCCACAAGGCGAUACGGCAGCGGGGCUGCCAGC